UAUAGGUACAGAUAGUGAUUGAUAUACUAUACUGUGUACAACAAGGAAAUGAAUUAGUGUUUAAGCGUAUUUGUAAGUACGUCAUCUUGUUGGGUCGCCCUAAUGGGCGAUUUGUGUUAUAU
rnacentral:sRNA from 12 species